CCUACGAGAGUCUGCAGUGAGGAAUAUUGGUCAAUGGGCGCGAGCCUGAACCAGCCAAGUAGCGUGAAGGAUGACUGCCCUACGGGUUGUAAACUUCUUUUAUAAAGGAAUAAAGUGAGGCACGUGUGCCUUUUUGUAUGUACUUUAUGAAUAAGGAUCGGCGAACUCCGUGCCAGCAGCCGCGGUAAUACGGAGGAGCCGAGCGUUAUCCGGAUUUAUUGGGGUUAAAGGGAGCGUAGAUGGGUUGGUAAGUCAGUUGUGAAAGUUUGCGGCUCAACCGUAAAAUUGCAAUUGAUACUGGCAGUCUUGAGUACAGUUGAGGUAGGCGGAAUUCGUGGUGUAGCGGUGAAAUGCUUAGAUAUCACGAAGAACUCCGAUUGCGAAGGCAGCUUACUAAACUGCCACUGACAUUGAUGCUCGAAAGUGUGGGUAUCAAACAGGAUUAGAUACCCUAGUAGUC
rnacentral:rRNA from 1 species